CGCGGCCUAUCAGCUUGUUGGUGGGGUAAUGGCCUACCAAGGCGUCGACGGGUAGACUGGUCUGAGAGGACGAUCAGCCACACUGGGACUGAGACACGGCCCAGACCCCUACGGGAGGCAGCAGCAGGGAAUCUUGCGCAAUGGGCGAAAGCCUGACGCAGCAACGCCGCGUGGGGGAUGACGGCCUUCGGGUUGUAAACCCCUUUCAGGAGGGAAGAAAAUGACGGUACCUCCAGAAGAAGCCCCGGCCAACUACGUGCCAGCAGCCGCGGUAAUACGUAGGGGGCAAGCGUUGUCCGGAAUUAUUGGGCGUAAAGAGCUCGUAGGCGGCUCAGCAAGUCGGCUGUGAAAUCCCGAGGCUCAACCUCGGAACUGCAGUCGAUACUGCUGUGGCUAGAGUCUGGUAGAGGAGAAUGGAAUUCCCGGUGUAGCGGUGAAAUGCGCAGAUAUCGGGAGGAACACCAGUAGCGAAGGCGGUUCUCUGGGCCAGUACUGACGCUGAGGAGCGAAAGCGUGGGGAGCAAACAGGAUUAGAUACCCUGGUAGUCCACGCCGUAAACGUUGGGUACUAGGUGUGGCGUCCCGAUCAACGGAUGCCGUGCCGAAGCUAACGCAUUAAGUACCCCGCCUGGGGAGUACGG
rnacentral:rRNA from 1 species